UGGGGAAUUUUGGACAAUGGGGGAAACCCUGAUCCAGCCAUCCCGCGUGUGCGAUGAAGGCCUUCGGGUUGUAAAGCACUUUUGGCAGGAAAGAAACGUCGCGGGUUAAUACCCCGCGAAACUGACGGUACCUGCAGAAUAAGCACCGGCUAACUACGUGCCAGCAGCCGCGGUAAUACGUAGGGUGCAAGCGUUAAUCGGAAUUACUGGGCGUAAAGCGUGCGCAGGCGGUUCGGAAAGAAAGAUGUGAAAUCCCAGAGCUUAACUUUGGAACUGCAUUUUUAACUACCGGGCUAGAGUGUGUCAGAGGGAGGUGGAAUUCCGCGUGUAGCAGUGAAAUGCGUAGAUAUGCGGAGGAACACCGAUGGCGAAGGCAGCCUCCUGGGAUAACACUGACGCUCAUGCACGAAAGCGUGGGGGGCAAACAGGAUUAGAUACCCUGGUAGUCCACGCCCUAAACGAUGUCAACUAGCUGUUGGGGCCUUCGGGCCUUGGUAGCGCAGCUAACGCGUGAAGUUGACCGCCUGGGGAGUACGGUCGCAAGAUUAAGACUCAAAUGAAUUGACGGGGUCAUAGCUG
rnacentral:rRNA from 1 species